rnacentral:siRNA from 1 species
AGAAAGCACAGACAAAAACAAACA